rnacentral:rRNA from 1 species
UNUGACUUGAGUGCAGAAGGGGAGAGUGGAAUNCCAUGUGUAGCGGUGAAAUGCGUAGAUAUAUGGAGGAACACCAGUGGCGAAAGCGGCUCUCUGGUCUGUCACUGACGCUGAGGCUCGAAAGCGUGGGUAGCGAACAGGAUUAGAUACCCUGGUAGUNCACGCCGUAAACGAUGAGUGCUAGGUGUUAGGCCCUUUCCGGGGCUUAGUGCCGGAGCUAACGCAAUAAGCACUCCGCCUGGGGAGUACGACCGCAAGGUUGAAACUCAAAGGAAUUGACGGGGGCCCGCACAAGCGGUGGAGCAUGUGGUUUAAUUCGAAGCAACGCGAAGAACCUUACCAGGUCUUGACAUCCCGAUGCUAUUCUUAGAGAUAGGAAGUUACUUCGGUACAUCGGAGACAGGUGGUGCAUGGUUGUCGUCAGCUCGUGUCGUGAGAUGUUGGGUUAAGUCCCGCAACGAGCGCAACCCUUAUUGUUAGUUGCCAUCAUUAAGUUGGGCACUCUAGCGAGACUGCCGGUAAUAAACCGGAGGAAGGUGGGGAUGACGUCAAAUCAUCAUGCCCCUUAUGACCUGGGCUACACACGUGCUACAAUGGUCGGUACAACGAGUUGCGAGCCGGUGACGGCAAGCUAAUCUCUGAAAGCCGAUCUCAGUUCGGAUUGGAGGCUGCAACUCGCCUCCAUGAAGUCGGAAUCGCUAGUAAUCGCGGAUCAGCACGCCGCGGUGAAUACGUUCCCGGGCCUUGUACGCACCGCCCGUCACACUACGAGAGUUUGUAACACCCGAAGUCGGUGAGGUAACCUUUUAGGGGCCAG